AGGCAUCGCGGCAGGAUCAGUAGGUGGUCCUGCUGAGCUAUUUACUGUGAACUGAAUUAUUAUUUGACGUUUGAGGGAUGUUCCAAUGUUAUAAGGAUAGACAUUGGAGAUGUUAACCGAGUCAUAAUCAGGUUUAGGCCUGGUAUCCUAUUAUUAUUUACCAAAUGAAUUCAGAAUUAAUAUUGUAACAUAGACCUAAAAAAUCUAUAAAACAACUUUUAACAACGGAUCUCUUGGUUCUCGCAUCGAUGAAGAACGUAGCAAAGUGCGAUAACUAGUGUGAAUUGCAUAUUCAGUGAAUCAUCGAGUCUUUGAACGCAACUUGCGCUCAUUGGUAUUCCAAUGAGCACGCCUGUUUCAGUAUCAAAACAAACCCUCUAUCCAACUUUUGUUGUAUAGGAUUAUUGGGGGCCUCUCGAUCUGUAUAGAUCUUGAAACCCUUGAAAUUUACUAAGGCCUGAACUUGUUUAAUGCCUGAACUUUUUUUUAAUAUAAAGGAAAGCUCUUGUAAUUGACUUUGAUGGGGCCUCCCAAAUAAAUCUUUUUUAAAUUUGAUCUGAAAUCAGGUGGGAUUACCCGCUGAACUUAAGCAUAUCAUAAACGCGAGGGAA
rnacentral:rRNA from 1 species